UAAUACCGGCGGCUCGAGUGGUGGCCACUAUUACUGGGCUUAAAGCGUUCGUAGCUGGUUUGUUAAGUCUCUGGGGAAAUCUUCCGGCUUAACCGGAAGGCGUCUCAGGGAUACUGGCAGACUAGGGACCGGAAGAGGUGAGAGGUACUCCAGGGGUAGGAGUGAAAUCCUGUAAUCCUUGGGGGACCACCUGUGGCGAAGGCGUCUCACCAGAACGGCUCCGACAGUGAGGGACGAAAGCUGGGGGAGCAAACCGG
rnacentral:rRNA from 1 species